UACGGGAGGCAGCAGUGGGGAAUAUUGCACAAUGGGCGCAAGCCUGAUGCAGCCAUGCCGCGUGUAUGAAAAAGGCCUCGGGUUGUAAAGUACUUUCAGUCGUGAGGAAGGUGUUAAGGUUAAUAACCUUAGCAAUUGACGUUAGCGACAGAAGAAGCACCGGCUAACUCCGUGCCAGCAGCCGCGGUAAUACGGAGGGUGCGAGCGUUAAUCGGAAUUACUGGGCGUAAAGGGCACGCAGGCGGUUAAUUAAGUUGGAUGUGAAAUCCCCGGGCUUAACCUGGGAAUGGCAUUCAAGACUGGUUAGCUAGAGUCUUGUAGAGGGGGUAGAAUUCCAUGUGUAGCGGUGAAAUGCGUAGAGAUGUGGAGGAAUACCGGUGGCGAAGGCGGCCCCUGGACAAAGACUGACGCUCAUGUGCGAAAGCGUGGGGAGCAAACAGGGAUUAGAUACCCG
rnacentral:rRNA from 1 species